GAUGAGGUGGCUGAGUGGUUAAGGCGAUGGACUGCUAAUCCAUUGUGCUCUGCACGCAUGGGUUCGAAUCCUAUCCUCAUUG
rfam:Danio rerio chromosome 4, GRCz11 reference primary assembly.